GGAAUCUUCCGCAAUGGGCGAAAGCCUGACGGAGCAACGCCGCGUGAGUGAUGAAGGUCUUCGGAUCGUAAAACUCUGUUAUUAGGGAAGAACAAAUGUGUAAGUAACUAUGCACGUCUUGACGGUACCUAAUCAGAAAGCCACGGCUAACUACGUGCCAGCAGCCGCGGUAAUACGUAGGUGGCAAGCGUUAUCCGGAAUUAUUGGGCGUAAAGCGCGCGUAGGCGGUUUUUUAAGUCUGAUGUGAAAGCCCACGGCUCAACCGUGGAGGGUCAUUGGAAACUGGAAAACUUGAGUGCAGAAGAGGAAAGUGGAAUUCCAUGUGUAGCGGUGAAAUGCGUAGAGAUGUGGAGGAACACCAGUGGCGAAGGCGACUCUCUGGUCUGUAACUGACGCUGAGGAGCGAAAGCGUGGGGAGCGAACAGGA
rnacentral:misc_RNA from 1 species